CCCGGAUACGUACCAGCAGAUGUUUCUGGAGCAGCUUUUCUUAUGCAAAGGGAACUUCAAUGGUUUGAGGUGCUGGAAGAUCAGAGUCCUCCUUUGAUAAAAAGUCUAAAAUUUGAGGUAAAAGAAGAUAAGAGCAGUCCUUCUAAAAGUCUGGAAUUGAAAGAAACAAAAGAAAGGAGCGGGAAGACAUACUGGGGAGUUUUUGUAGAACAGCGAAAAGAUUUGGUCAAAGAGGCGGGGCAAUGGAU